UCGAUUCCUGGCUCGAGUCCUAGCUCGAGUCCUGGCUCGAGUCCUGGCUCGAGUCCUGGCUCGAGUCCUGGCUCGAGUCCUGGCUCGAGUCCUG